CCUACGGGUGGCAGCAGUGGGGAAUAUUGCACAAUGGGCGCAAGCCUGAUGCAGCCAUGCCGCGUGUGUGAAGAAGGCCUUCGGGUUGUAAAGCACUUUCAGCGGGGAGGAAGGCGGUGAGGUUAAUAACCUCAUCGAUUGACGUUACCCGCAGAAGAAGCACCGGCUAACUCCGUGCCAGCAGCCGCGGCAAUACGGAGGGUGCAAGCGUUAAUCGGAAUUACUGGGCGUAAAGCGCACGCAGGCGGUCUGUCAAGUCGGAUGUGAAAUCCCCGGGCUCAACCUGGGAACUGCAUUCGAAACUGGCAGGCUAGAGUCUUGUAGAGGGGGGUAGAAUUCCAGGUGUAGCGGUGAAAUGCGUAGAGAUCUGGAGGAAUACCGGUGGCGAAGGCGGCCCCCUGGACAAAGACUGACGCUCAGGUGCGAAAGCGUGGGGAGCAAACAGGAUUAGAUACCCCUGUAGUC
rnacentral:rRNA from 1 species